rnacentral:rRNA from 1 species
AUUGAACGCUGGCGGCAGGCCUAACACAUGCAAGUCGAACGAGUUGCGGACGGGUGAGUAAUGUCUGGGAAACUGCCUGAUGGAGGGGGAUAACUACUGGAAACGGUAGCUAAUACCGCAUACCAUCGGAUGUGCCCAGAUGGGAUUAGCUAGUAGGUGGGGGAAAGGCUAACCUAGGCGACGAUCCCUAGCUGGUAUGAGAGGAUGACCAGCCACACUGGGACUGAGACAAGGUCCAGACUCCUACGGGAGGCAGCAGGGGGGAAGAUUGCACAAUGGGCGCAAGCCUGAUGCAGCCAUGCCGCGUGUAUGAAGAAGGCCUUCGGGUUGUAAAGUACUGUCAGCGGGGAGGCGUUACCCGCAGAAGAAGCACCGGCUAACUCCGUGCCAGCAGCCGCGGUAAUAC